rnacentral:piRNA from 1 species
UCCCCGAGUGGAUGUGUGGUGGUAUUGUGU